CAUUCAACCCUCUUGCCUUUAUGCUGCCAACAUCUUUUGUUUCCCUGAAUGGGUUGCCUUCUGCAGAAUGAACCAUUUCCCAACAUUACUCCACAAGUAUUGGGAAAAAGUUCCUUGACAGGAUUAUUUGAAGAUCCACAUUGCCAGGUACUAUAUGCAUUAUGUUUAGAUGAGGCAUUGUUGUUUACGCUGUCAGCAAAAGAAUUGAAUACUGAACUGGGGGCAGACAUACGGAUUUUUUCUUCUGCUGCUGGCUCUGAACUGUCUACCCCAGACAAGUUACAUUCAACCCUCUGGCCUUUAUGCUGCCAGCAUCUUUUGUUUCCCAGAAUGGGUUGCCUUCUGCAGAAUGAACCAUUUCCCAACAUUACUCCACAAGUAUUGGGAAAAUGUUCCUUGACAGGAUUAUUUGAAGAUCCACAUUGCCAGGUACUAUCUGCAUUAUGUUUAGAUGAGGCAUUGUUGUUUACGCUGUCAGCAAAAGAAUUGAAUACCGAACUGGGGGCAGACAUACGGAUUUUUUCUUCUGCUGCUGGCUCUGAACUGUCUACCCCAGACAAGUUACAUUCAACCCUCUGGCCUUUAUGCUGCCAGCAUCUUUUGUUUCCCAGAAUGGGUUGCCUUCUGCAGAAUGAACCAUUUCCCAACAUUACUCCACAAGUAUUGGGAAAAUGUUCCUUGACAGGAUUAUUUGAAGAUCCACAUUGCCAGGUACUAUCUGCAUUAUGUUUAGAUGAGGCAUUGUUGUUUACGCCGUCAGCAAAAGAAUUGAAUACCGAACUGGGGGCAGACAUACGGAUUUUGUCUUCUGCUGCUGGCUCUAAGACGGAGGUGUUAACCCGCAUCCCCUUGUGCUCUUCACAUCUUUUCCUCCCUGCCAC
rnacentral:lncRNA from 1 species